rnacentral:lncRNA from 1 species
UGGUCUGCAUUAACGAGGCCUUUCUGUUUCCCUGUAGCCGGGUCUCUGAGUCUGUAGGUAUUGCGUCCAAUGUGUUGAGUCACUCUUAAUGGCCCUGUGCAUCGAGGGGCAAGCUUGGCUGUGAAUCCAAUGGCUGCCUUACUUAACGGGUGCGUGUCCCAGAGAACCAAGUCUCCAACCUGGAAGGUAGCUGGAGUGCGCUUUUUGUUGGAAUACUUUGCCUGGCUGGCUUUUGCCAAAGGAGAGAGAGAGAA